GCUCCCGUGGCCUAAUGGAUAAGGCGUUGGAUUCGGAAUCCAAAUACUGUGGGUAUGAGUUCUAUCAGGAGCG